CCAUUAAACCUGGGGGCCUACAGCCCCCCAGUGCUUCAGGGGUGGACAGGCAGGAGACACACACAGGCAGGAGAUACUGUAAAGGCAGAUGAUGAAGGCAGGAAAUGCUGUGCAGGCAGUAGAUGCUGUGCAGGCAGGAGAUGGCGUGCAGGCAGGAGAUAGCCAUACAGGCAGGAGAUGCUGUACAGGCAGAGGAUAAAAGCAGGAGAUGCAGGCAGGAGAUGCUGUGCAGGCAGGAGAUGCCAUGCAGGCAGGAGAUGCUGUACAGGCAGAGGAUAAAAGCAGAAGAUGCAGGCAGGAGAUGCUAUGCAGGCAAGAGAUGCAGGCAGAACAUGCUGCAGCUGAAGCACCCAGACCCAGCCAUGCCUAGCACCCCAGUGGGUGACCCCUCUCCUGCCUCCCACCCCACAAGUGUCCCCUCAUGAAGUCUGGGGCCAGGGGCCGCACUUGGGCCCACAUAAAGCCCCUUGGAGAGCACCCACAGGUGCCCAAAUGCAUGGAGCAGCUCCUGCCGGCACUACCGGACCGUCCCAUCCCUGCUCUGGGAGGUCUCAGCCCCAGUCCCAGGUGGGUCCCAACCCACUCCUGGGGGGGUCCGAGCCCCACUUCUGGGAUACCUCCAUCAUCUCCCUCUCC